CGUGGGUAACCUGCCUUAUAGUGGGGGAUAGCCUUUCGAGAGGAAGAUUAAUACCGCAUAAGAUUGUAGUAUCGCAUGAUAUAGCAAUUAAAGGAGCAAUUCGCUAUAAGAUGGACCCGCGUCGCAUUAGCUAGUUGGUGAGGUAAUGGCUCACCAAGGCGACGAUGCGUAGCCGACCUGAGAGGGUGAUCGGCCACAUUGGGACUGAGACACGGCCCAGACUCCUACGGGAGGCAGCAUG
rnacentral:rRNA from 1 species